AAUACAUCUCUCUUUCUCCUCUUAUUCUCUGAUUUCAGCAUAUUUAUUCCAGUGGCCGAUCCCUGAAAGAAGCUGGAAGAUGGGACGAACCCUGGGUUUUCUGCACCACCUGCCUCCCAAGGAAAGAGCAAGAGGAAGAAGGAUGGGGAGGGGAUCUGGACAGCCAAAAGGAAGCUAUCCAGCACCAAAAUGUAGUGUACAUCCUUCAUGGAAGCAGGAGAACUUUCUGAUCCUACAGCAGUCAAUUAUGUCACACAUUUUCCAGUGGAAACCAGG
rnacentral:lncRNA from 1 species